rnacentral:rRNA from 1 species
AGAACGAACGCUGGCGGCAGGCUUAACACAUGCAAGUCGAGCGCCUCGCAAGAGGAGCGGCAGACGGGUGAGUAACGCGUGGGAAUCUACCUAGUUCUACGGAACAACACAGGGAAACUUGUGCUAAUACCGUAUACGCCCUACGGGGGAAAGAUUUAUCGGAAUUAGAUGAGCCCGCGUAAGAUUAGCUAGUUGGUGGGGUAAUGGCCUACAAGGCGACGAUCUUUAGCUGGUCUGAGAGGAUGAUCAGCCACACUGGGACUGAGACACGGCCCAGACUCCUACGGGAGCAGCAGUGGGAAUAGUUGGACAAGUGGGCGCAAGCCUGAUCCAAGCCAUGCUGCGUGAGUGAUGAAGGUCCUUAGGUUAGUAAAGUCUCUUUCGAGUGGGGAACGAAUAAGUGAACCGGUACCCAACGAAGAAAGAACGCCCCCGGAUAACGUUCGCGCCAGC